rnacentral:rRNA from 1 species
UGGGGAAUAUUGGACAAUGGGGGAAACCCUGAUCCAGCAAUGCCGCGUGAAUGAAGAAGGCCUUAGGGUUGUAAAGUUCUUUCACCUGUGAAGAUAAUGACGGUAGCAGGAGAAGAAGCCCCGGCUAACUCCGUGCCAGCAGCCGCGGUAAGACGGAGGGGGCUAGCGUUGUUCGGAAUGACUGGGCGUAAAGGGCGCGUAGGCGGUUUUUUAAGUGAGGCGUGAAAGCCCUGGGCUUAACCCAGGAGGUGCGUUUCAUACUGGAAGACUUGAGUACGAGAGAGGAAAGUGGAAUUCCUAGUGUAGAGGUGAAAUUCGUAGAUAUUAGGAAGAACACCAGUGGCGAAGGCGGCUUUCUGGCUCGUAACUGACGCUGAGGCGCGAAAGCGUGGGGAGCAAACAGGAUUAGAUACCCCCGUAGUCC